GAUCUUUUUUUUCAAGAUUGUCUCCUCCGGAUUCACAAUUGACUAGACACUGGGUAAAAUCUUACAUAGAAAACCAGGUGAAAUGCACAGAGAAAGGAGUAGUAAACACUGCUUUCCAGAGGAGAAUCUUAAUGAUGAAAAUAAAGAAUUUUAAGCAGAAGAGGAGGAAAACAUCACACCGUGCAGGCGACUGUAUGGAGAUAUUUCAUAUCUGGCCACAACACUUUUACAAAAUUUUUUUUUAAAGUCUGUAUUCUAACCCUUCUUUUUCAUGACCUGAAAAGAACCAUAUGUCUGCCAGUGAACUUUAUAGACCCAUGGAGACC
rnacentral:lncRNA from 1 species